GUCUCCUGCUUCUAGUCCACCAUGACUCUCUUCGCAAGAGCUUCUUUCAAGGGACAAAGAGGCAACCAGUUUAAAGCCCAAGACUGCCGUGUGAAUGGAGACAGGGAGCAGCAGAAGAAAGUGGCUGGAUUUCAGUCAGCUGAAACAAUAGAAAGUAUGGCUAAAGGAAAACAUGAGGCAGUCUUGUCUGGGAAGAGAUAGAGGCAUGCCGAAGAGGAUGUGACAGUCACACACAGAAGUAUAUAGAUCAUGAUUUGGGAUAAGUCCAGCUGGUUAAGAUGUAGGAAGAUGGGUCAGUUUGGAAAGUAAAGGAGAGAGACUGCCUCAACACCAAGAAGCCGAGCUGACCUGAGACGGAGGACCAUGUAUAGAAAGGUGUUAAAUAACUCAUCACUUAGCUACACAUCACACAGUUUGGAAAAUAUUUGGCCCAGUGACUUUGCAACAUGUUCUAGAGGCUGUUGAAGCUUUAGUGUCUUCUCAAAGGUCCCCAUGCCAC